UUGAAAGGGAAAGCUCAAAGUGGAGGAAGCUGUCCCAGGGUUCGGUCUGUGUGUGAGUGCGUGUCCCUUCUUGACUAGGGUUUUUCAUCCACACAUUUCCUAAUCCUGACUCUUCCGUCCACAUGGCCCUCACUCUGGUGUGCAGAUGAAACAGCUGAGUGGCUGAGCGAAGAUGAACGGCUUGAGCACAGAAGAGGAUUCAGGAUCACAGCAUGAUCAAGUGUGCUGUUUGGUUGAUGCAGGUGAACGCUGCACCCAGUUGGCAGGGAAUGCUGCCUACAACAAGAGGAUACAGAAAACUGUUGCGCAAAGGAAGCUUCGACUGCACAUGGACACUGCUCAGUCCAGCCAUAAUUACAUCUGCGAGUAUCACAAGGGUGUCAUCCAGAGUGUGCGAGUCAAACGUAAAAGAAGAGAUUCAGAAGAAGACUUUGGAGACUUUGAUGGAGACCAUCCAGAAGUGGAGCUUUAUAAUUUACAGGUGAACACAUUGAGGAGAUACAAACGACACUACAAGAUACCAACAAGGCCAGGGCUGAAUAAGGCUCAGCUAGUGGAUAUCCUCAUGAAGCACUUCCGGACAGUGCCAGUAGUGGAGAAGGAGUGCCUCACAUAUUUCAUCUAUAUGAUCAAGGCUAACCGAUCCAAGUUUGACCAGAGAAAUGGGUCAAAUAUCGACACCUGACCACCACUAUAGAAAUCUUCACUGACUUUGGAAUGCUGCCAGUGCUUGAAACUAAGUUAUGAGGCAACAUCUUGAGGGAAGAUUUCUGCAAUGACCACAAUGGUGCAAUGUCCAGUCAGCAAACUCCUUACUAGCCCUAACAAGCGAGUAGCAAGCAACGGCCAUCGGGUGGGGACCCGUCAUCCACCCACUCAGUUUGAAAACAUCAGUCAAACCAAGCACACGCCGCGCCGUCUCAAUUUUCUCUAUGCAAUGCCCUCUACUGCCUGAGGGAGAGGGUUCAAGUAGAACCCACAGGCAGUUCAAGGCGAUCAGGCAAGAUCAUGGCCAUGAGUGAAAGUGUUUAGGGUCUCUGACAAUUUGUCAAGGAAGUUACAAUACAAGGAUAUCAACCACCAUAAUGAUAAAUGAGGAAGCCUAAUGCCUUGAACAGUGAUUUUAAUGAACAGUCAAGGUGUGUUUGAUAAAGGUAAAAGGCCUCUAUGUGAUCUGACAAUUUGCCACAGAAGGCACCUGGAUAUCAGGCAGGACCAUUGUGAUUUGUUAAAAAGCCUAUAACCUUGAACAAUGAUUGAUUUGAUGAACUUAAGUAUAGAAGACAUAUAUGGGAUCUUACAUUUAAGAAUUGCUAGCUUAAACCUUUAUAAUUCACCUUUUUUUUUUUUUUUUUUUUUUUUCAAUUUCAUAAUGAAGCAGUUUUUCUUUCAUAUACUGUAAGGAUAAUUAAGUACUAAGUAAUUUCCUAGGUUAUUCAGGAGAGUUUUGGAAAAAAAAUCAAUUGUAUAGCUUAAAAGUUAUUUGAAUUUAUUAUUCUUAUUUUUUAUAUGAAAUUUCCCAUAAAAUAUUUGAAGAUGCUCUUUCUUGUAAUAAAUGUACAGAAUAUUACUAUUUUUUUCAUGAUCUUCCUUAAUUUAUAACCUUUUCCAUGAUUUCUAGAAUAGGAUGCGCCGUCCGCUUUGAAAUCGGUGAUUUACAGUCGGAAUACAAGG